AAGGAUCAUUAUGAAUGAACUUGGUGUGGUUGUUGCUGGCUCUCUUGUGGGGGCAUGUGCACACCCGCCAUCCUCAUCUCUCCACCUGUGCACCUCUUGUAGACCUGGAUGAAUUUUCCGAGGUAACUCGGUCGGGAGGAAUGCUGCGCUCUUUGCGUCGGCUUUCUUUGCACUUCCAAGCCUACGUUUUUUUCAUAUACCCGUAGUAUGUAACAGAAUGUAUCAUUGGGCCUAAGUGCCUAUAAACCUUAUACAACUUUCAGCAACGGAUCUCUUGGCUCUCGCAUCGAUGAAGAACGCAGCGAAAUGCGAUAAGUAAUGUGAAUUGCAGAAUUCAGUGAAUCAUCGAAUCUUUGAACGCACCUUGCGCUCCUUGGUAUUCCGAGGAGCAUGCCUGUUUGAGUGUCAUUUAAUUCUCAACCUUAUUAGCUUUUGUUGAUAAUGGCUUGGAUGUGGGGGUUUUCUUUUGCUGGCUUUCUUCGGAUGUCAGCUCCCCUUAAAUGUAUUAGCCGGUGCCCUGCGUGGACUAUCCGUUGGUGUGAUAAUUAUCUACGCCGUUGGAUGUCUGCAAAUAGGUUUUGCACUGCUUCUAACUGUCUGWUCAUAWGGACAWKGACANGACAAUUUGACCU
rnacentral:rRNA from 1 species